UGCAUGGGUAACUUUACAGCAUUAACAAUUGCCAAACCUCUUGUUCCAAUUUUUCACCUCUUACCCCCCACCCCCGCCCCCAGAUGGCAGGAUGACCAGUAGAUGUUAAAUAUAUUAAAAUAUAAAUUAGAUACACAAUAAGUAUACAUGACCAAAACGUUAUUUUGCUGUACAAAAAGAAUCAGACUCUGAAAUAUUGUACAAUUAGCUUGUGAAGGAAAUCAAAAAUGCAGAUGGGCAUAAAUAUAGGGAUUGGGAAUUCAAUGUAAUGGUUUUUAGUCAUCUUCCAGAGUUCUUUCUCUGGGCGUAGCUGGUUCAGUUCUUUACUGCUCCAUUGGAAAUGAUUUGGUUGAUCUCACUGCUGAGGAUGGCUAGGUCCAUCAGAACUGGUCAUCAUAUAGUAUUGUUGUUGAAGUAUAUAAUGAUCUCCUGGUCCUGCUUGUUUCACUCAGCAUCAGUUCGCGUAAGUCUCUCCAGGCCUUUCUGAAAUCAUCCUGUAUGGUUUUUGUUAAUUUGGUUAUUAACAUAGCCAAUUAUAUUGAUAGUUUUCCUAAUAUUGAACCAGCCUGCAUUCCUGGUAUAAAUCCUACUUGAUCAUAGUGUAUUAUCCUGGAGAUGAUUUUCUGUAGUCUUUUUGCUAAUAUCUUAUUUAAGAUUUUAGCAUCAAUAUUCAUUAGGGUGAUUGGUCUAUAAUUUUCUUUCUCUGUUUUCAACCUACCUGGUUUAGGUAUCAGUACCAUGUCUGUGUCAUAGAAGGAAUUUGGUAGGACUCCUUCAUUCCCUAUUUUAUCAAAUAAUUUACAUAGCAUUGGGGCCAAUUGUUCUUUAAAUGUUUGGUAAAAUUCACAUGUAAAUCCAUCUGGUCCUGGGGAUUUUUUCUUAGGGAGUUGUUUAAUUGCCUGUUCUAUUUCUUUUUCUGAAAUGGGACUAUUCAAGCAAUUUACUUCCUCUGUUAGUCUGGGAAGUCUAUAUUUUUGGAGGUAGUCAUCCAUUUCACUUAGGUUAUCAAAUUUAUUGGCAUAAAGCUGAGCAAAAUAACUCCUUAUUAUUUCUCUAAUUUCCUCUUCAUUGGUGGAAAGUUCUCCCUUUUCAUUUUUAAGACUACUAAUUUCAUUUUCCUCCCUCCUUUUUCUAAUCAGAUUUACCAAAGGCUUAUCUAUUUUAUUGGCUUUUUCAUAGAACCAACUCUUAGUUUUAUUAAUUAGUUCAAUAGUUUUUUUUACUUUCAAUAUUUUUAAUUUCUCCUUUUAAUUUUAGAAUUUCCAAUUUAGUAUUUGAUUGGGGGUUUUUAAUUUGGUCUUUUUUUUAGUUUUUUUAGUUGCAAGCCCAAUUCAUUAAUCUUUUCUUUCUCUGUUUUAUUCAAGUAAGCCUCUAAGGAUAUAAAAUUCCCUCUUAUUACCGCUUUGGCUGCAUCCCACAAAUUUUGGUAUGACGUCUCAUCAUUGUCAUUAUCUUGAGUGAAAUUAUUAAUUAUAUCUAUAAUUUGCUGCUUCACCCAAUCAUUCUUUAAGAUGAGAUUGUUUAGUUUCCAAUUACUUUUUGGUCUAUUUCCCACUAACUUUUUGUUGAAUGUAGUUUUUAUUGCAUCAUGAUCUGAAAAGAAAGCAUUUACUAUUUCUGCUUUCUUGCAUUUAAUUUUGAGGUCUUUAUGUCCUAAUAUAUGGUCAAUUUUUGAAUAGGUUCCAUGAACUGCUGAGAAGAAAGUAUAUUCCUUUCUAUCUCCAUUCAAUUUUCUCCAAAGAUCUAACAUACCUAAUUUUUUUAAUAUUCUAUUUACUUCUUUAAUUUCUUUCUUAUUUGUUUUGUAGUUUGAUUUGUCUAAUUCUGAGAAUGCAAGGUUGAGAUCUCCCACUAUUACAGUUUUGUUGUCUAUUUCUUCUUGCAACUCUCUUAACUUCUCCUUUAGGAAGUUGGAUGCCAUACCACUUGGUGCAUAUAUGUUUAAUAUUGAUAUUGCUUCAUUGUUUAUGCUACCCUUUAGCAGGAUGUAGUUUCCUUCCUUAUCUCUUUUAAUUAGAUCAAUUUUUGCUUUUGCUUGAUCUGAGAUAAGGAUGGCUACCCCUGCUUUUUUGACUUCACCUGAAGCAUAAUAGAUUUUGCUCCAGCCUUUUACCUUUACUCUAUAUGUAUCUCCCUGUUUUAAAUGUGUUUCUUGUAAACAACAUAUUGUAGGG
rnacentral:lncRNA from 1 species